rnacentral:rRNA from 1 species
ACAAUGGGGGAAACCCUGAUGCAGCGACGCCGCGUGAGUGAAGAAGUAUUUCGGUAUGUAAAGCUCUAUCAGCAGGGAAGAAAUACUGACCAUAGGGUCAGCAGACGGUACUUGACUAAGAAGCCCCGGCUAACUACGUGCCAGCAGCCGCGGUAAUACGUAGGGGGCAAGCGUUAUCCGGAUUUACUGGGUGUAAAGGGAGCGUAGACGGCAGCGCAAGUCUGAAGUGAAAUGCCAGGGCUUAACCCUGGAACUGCUUUGGAAACUGUGCAGCUAGAGUGCAGGAGAGGUAAGUGGAAUUUCUAGUGUAGCGGUGAAAUGCGUAGAUAUUAGGAGGAACACCAGUGGCGAAGGCGGCUUACUGGACUGUAACUGACGUUGAGGCUCGAAAGCGUGGGGAGCAAACAGGAUUAGAUACCCUGGUAGUCCACGCUGUAAACGAUGAUUACUAGGUGUUGGGGACCAAGGUUCUUCG